UGGAAGCAUAUCCAAGAUGAAUGGGUGUGGGUGGCAGCAGAACCUGCUGACAUGACGAAUCAUGGGGACGAUGCACUGUCCUCUAGAACUGGUGCUCCAGAUGGGGAUGAUCGACUCUCUGAGGACAGAUCCUUGGUCCAGCAGAGGCUGGCUGUCAGGGAACUCAUUGACACCGAGGUCUCCUACUUGCACGUGCUCCAGCUCUGUGCCUCUGACAUUAGGAGCCGUCUGCAGCAGCUGCCACAGGGAGAUCUGGAUGUCCUGUUCUCAAACAUCGAUGACAUCAUCAAGGUGAACAGAAGACUGCUUCAUGAUCUGCAGGAGACAGCCUCCAGGGAAGAGGAACAAGUGCAGCUGAUCGGUAAUGCAUUUCUGGAAUUCCAAGAGGAGUUGGAGCAAGUCUAUAAGGUAUACUGUGCCAGCUAUGAACAGGCCUUGCUGCUGGUAGAGACCUACCGGAAGGAGCCAGAGCUGCAGCGGGAGAUCCAGGGCAUCAUUGAGGCAGUGCUGCCGCAAGCUGGACCUUCAGGCCUCAGUUUCUUGCUGGUAAUUCCUCUGCAGAGGAUUACCAAAUACCCAUUGCUGCUGCAGAAAAUUCUGGAGAACACACUCCCUGAUACCAGUGCCUACGCUGUCCUUCAGAGGGCUACCUCUGCCCUCCAGGAUGUGGUCACCAACAUCAAUGAGUACAAGAGGCGCAAAGAAGUGGCCUCCAAGUACACCAAGGUGGAGCCUCUGAGCCUCCGGGAGCGACUGGCUCGCAUCAAUACACACACCCUCUCCAAGAAGACCACCCGACUGAGCCAGCUGCUGAAGCAGGAGGCGGGGCUCGUUCCCAGGACGGAAGACAAGGAAUUUGAUGACUUAGAAGAGAGGUUCCACUGGGUGUCGCUGUGUGUGACCGAGCUGAAGAGCAACAUGGCUGCUUACCUGGACAAUUUGGAGGCUUUCCUCCGCUUCUGGCCCCAGGACUGCAAUCUGGAAAUCCCCGGGGGGCCUGUGGUACAGUACUGUUACCUGGCAAGAGACCUGCAGCUCCAGGCCUUCCCAGAGUUUAAGCAGCAGCUGGAAGCCCAGGUGUGGCAGCCAUUGUGCAGCCUGGCCAAAACCUUGGCAGGCCCUCAGAACCUGAUCAAGAAGCGUCUGGACAAACUACUGGACUUUGAGAGGGUGGAAGAGAAGCUGUUGGAGGUGGGCAGCGUGACCUACGAGGAGGAGGCAGCCCGGCACACGUACCAGGCACUCAACUCCCUGCUAGUGGCUGAACUCCCACAGUUUAACCAGCUGGCUAUGCGGUGGCUCGGCCAGAUCCUCUGCACAUUUGUGACUCUCCAGAGGGACCUUGCAAAGCAAGUGCUUCAGAGGGCAGAGGACAGCUUGGCCCAGCUCCCCCACCACCACCUGUCUGAGCCGGCCUUCAGGAAGCUGGUGGAGGAUGCACUAGGCCAGACCAGUCACCAGCUUCACUCCUUUCAAGAGAACUUCGAGAAAGUGCUGCCACCUCCCACCACACAACCACUCCUUCCAGGGGCUGAACGCCAGGUGCAGGCGCUCCUGAGCAAGUAUGGCCCGGGAAAGUUGUACCAGGUGACAAGCAACGUCAGCGGGGCUGGGACUCUGGACCUGACCCUGCCUCGGGGCCACAUCGUAGCCCUCCUUCAAAACAAGGACACCAAAGGCAACAGCAGCCGAUGGCUGGUGGACACUGGAGGACAUCGAGGGUACGUGCCAGCUGGAAAACUGGAGGUGUACCACGUGGUCCCCAGUGAGGAGGAGCUCAGAGGGCAGGCGAGGCCUCACAGAGACUUCCAACAUCAGACACCAGAGUCCACCUCAGCCCCGGUCCCCUCUGUCCCAACUGUGACCCAGGUGGUGGCCAUGUACCCCUUCGUGGCCAGAAGCAGCCAUGAAGUGAGUCUGCAGGCAGGCCAGCGGGUGACUGUGCUGGAGGCCCAGGACAAGAAGGGGAACCCAGAAUGGAGCCUCGUGGAAGUGAACGGACAGAGGGGCUACGUGCCUUCCAGCUUCCUGGCCAGGGCCCCAAGUCCAGCUCCAUGGGGCUGGAGUUUGCCUUCUUAGGGUGCCCUCCUUAAUGUCCAUGUUCCAGGAGGGUUAGAAGCUGUGACCCUGGGAAGGAAAGGAAGCAAAGUUGGGGGUGGAUAGGGAGAUCAGGUUAGGGCGGGGUGAAGGGCACAGAGAAGGUAGCCGGAAGAGGGAAAUGAGCCUUUUGAAACGCCCAGUGUGUGUGGGCAUGAAAGGCCCCAGCCAGGGCAGCUCAUUAUGUCUGCCUGGAGAGGGCGUUUCAACCUGAGUCACAGCACCCUGGAUGGCAGGUCCCAGCUGAUGCACCAGGAUUUGCUUGUGGCCGGUCUUACCUGUGCUCAUGCCCCAGCCUGUCCAUGGGAGUGGGUCACCUAGAUGAGCAUUACCUGUGUGCUGUGUGGUUGCAUGGAGGGCCCCUGGAGAGUCCAGAACUGCCUGGCUUGACAGCUAACUUCCUUCCUGUGAUAUAGAGACACCAUAGCUGACCAGUUGGCUUUUAUUUCUCCACAGUGGGAGCUGAAUUACCUUAGGCAGUGAACACACAGGAACCCUCUCUAGCAGGGAGCGAGGGCUUGUCAGGGCAGUAGAAAGGUUCCCAGGAGUCUUUUGGCUGGGCCUGGAGUGGGUGUGAGCAAGUCACAAUUCUGGAAUGUGUGUAGGCAAGUGCAGAGGCUGCUCCAGGGGAGAGGGGUUUUUGAGGGUGUGUUAGGUGGGGUGUAUGAAGUUGUACAGUUGAGGUGUGUGUUAGGUUGGCAGCAGUUGUACACUGCUGCUGUGUUCUCUGGACUAGGGGACAAAGGGCCAUGCAAAUCUCAGAGGAAACUGUGAAGCAGGUAACUAAAGGCCUGGUGGGUGGGUUAUGACUUGGUUUCCUGUUUCUGGAAGAAGGGGAGCCAGGGGAACCCCUGGUGGUUUCAGAAGGGUGCUUAAGGCCUGGAGGCCACAGUGGAGGUGAUGUCAGUUGGCUGUGAAACCUCAGACAUAGGACACAACCUCAGUUUUCACAUCUAUUAAGACCUAACCCAGGCUUGUGAUGAGAAUGAGGAGAUGCCAAAGUUGUCGAAGCUCCUUGUAAAUCAUGAAGUGUGACAUAAUUGCAGGAUGUGCAGAAAGUGGUCUCAGGAUGGCCCCAGGCAUCAACUGACCACUCUCCAUGCCCAUGGCCAUGACCAACAUUAAUAAUCAGUGUGGCAUCCUUUCCUUUAAACCCAUGAUCCCUCCCACUGCUGCAUUCUAGGUAACCAAACAUUUGAACUUGGUGAGAUCACAUUAAUUGUCAUCCCUUUCUAGAACCUAGAAAUUGAAGCCUCUCAAAAGAGUUCCUGUUCAAGGAAGACUGACCACUGGGGCAAAUUUGGGUGCAGCAGCUGUUGGAUCAUCACUUCUAAGUUGUUGCUUUGGGCUCAGAUAAGUUGCAAGAUUCACAGGAGAGAGAAAAGGUUUCUGUAACGUUAACUUCUCUCAAACCAAUGAACAGCCCCUGAAGUGGGCAAUGUGGAAGUUAUUUGCUUGAGGAGAAGGAUGUGGAGUUCAGAAAGCUCCGGCAGCUUGCUCAAAAUCACACAGCAAGUUAAUGACCAAGCUAGAAACGAGGAUCAAGACUCCAAACUUCCAGUGCAAUAGGAGGAAAUGGAGGCCCAGGGAACCUAGGUAACUUGCCUAACUGCACAAGAGUAGUGAGUAAUGGAGACAAGAUUUGCACCCUGGUCCCUGUGUGACUACCAGGCCUCAGUUCUACAGAGUAGCUCUCUCCUUCAGCCAGCUCAUGGGGAUUUGAAAAACAAAGAAUUCUGUGAACUACAGACCUCAUUCACAUCUCCAGUCAUCCAUCCAUCCGACAAAUGGAUAUUUACAGGAAACCCAAUGGGUGCCAGCCAGCAAUAUGUGCUGGAGAUGCCGUAAUGACUAAGGACCAGACCCUGCCCUCAAGGAGCUCACAGUCUGGCAGAAGAAACAGAUGAAUGCCUGACCAGUUAUAGGAAGCUUAAAACAGAAGUGUCCAUGGCAAGCUAGGAAAAUAUAGACCAAAGAACAACACAUUCUGUGUAGAAGGAUCUUGAAGGUGGUGUGGAGGCACUGGGCUUUGUACUGGUCCAGGAAGGUGGAACAUGCAGCAAAGGGCUUAUGAGGAGAAGGAAACAGCACAUACAAAGUGCAGGACCUUCAGAAGGCAGGGAAUUGGGUGUAGCACGAAGUCUCAGGGAGCAGCCAGUGAAUUCCACUCGCUAAACAUUUAGGGAGCAUCUGUGACAGGUCAGGCUUCUGGCUAAGGGUUUGCUGAUGAGAUAGAAAAGCUAUUUGGGAUUAGAUUCCAGAAGACUUCGAAUGUUGUUGUUCUAUCUCUUUUCCAAUAGCACAAAUUUAAAAUGUGGAUGUGAAUUUAUCCCUUUUCCCCUAGGAGAGACAAAGAUCUUCCCCACUCAUGGGGCCUCUCAAGUGUCUUCAGCUCAGGCAUCCCCACAUUAGGGAAGGAACUGGGUGGUAGGGGGGGAGGGAGUAUUCAUACUUUCUGCACCCUGAGUUCUGUAAUUCCACACAUGUGCCAAAGAGACUGGGAAACCAGUUAUUAGGGAAAAUUUCCCCUGGAUUGUUAGCAAAGUUGAGCUGUGCUCAGAAGGUUCCAGUUGGGCUUCUCAAUGAAGACCCAGAACCACUAGCACUACCCUCGUAGCUCCCAAGCUCUGGAGGGGCUCUGGGGAAGGGGGAGUCACUCUCUGUGAUGUGUCUUUCAUGUACUAAGCCGAAUGACCUUGGCCUGAAUCGCUGAGGGUUAUGUAAGAUUAGGUAGCCACUUAGUCAAAAAUAGCUUUCAUGCUGACUCCAGCCCGCAGAACAUCAUCCAAGCAAAGGGGGCACAUAUGGGCCAGGGCUGGGCACACAUGGGGAAAUUCCCACCCUUGUCCUCACCACUGAAAAAUGACUUGAGAGUGCAAGAUGGAACUUCAGAACUGCUGACAGGUGAUGUCCCAUGCUUGUCUGUUUGGCAGCAGAAAUAUGGCUGUUGUGCUGAAGCACAGAAACCAAAGGAUCAUAAAGACAGAAAUCCAGUACAAACAUUCAAAUAAAGUAAGAGGGUGCAGAGCACAGAGACAACGCUGGGUUAGGAAAUCUUCAGAUCUGCUAUUACCAUUGACAUUCUAGAGCCAGGCACUUUCUUUUAUUUGUUUGACAAAUACCCCCUGAGCUUGCCACCCUGUGCCAGAGGCUGUGGCAGCCCUGGAGGCACAAAAGUCAGUGAUAGUUGCUGUUCCUGUUCUCAGGGAAUUUCAGCUUGUGGUGAUCUGUCUUCUACCCCAUCCUAAUAAUAAGUAACCUUUUCUGACACCUUCCCUGUGCCAGGCACUUUGCAAGACAUUGGCACUCACAGUGAAAAAGCCAGACGCAGUCCCAUGCUACAUGCAGCUUACAGUCUAGAGGAAGUAAGAGAUAAAAACAAAAACCAGACAAAUAAAUUGUCUUUAUGGUGGAAAUUCUAAUAAAGAUGUGCUGAGGGCCCUUCUAGAUCUAGAGGAAGACAUGUCUGUUGAAUGGUACUGUUUCUGAUGUGUUCAAGGUUUCUGCCUUGUGAAGGAAUAUGUGAAGAUCCCCAUUCUGCCCCUCUGGAAGUGACACUGGGGAAAAAUCAUCUGGACCUUGUGUAAGGAAUAGGCUCCUCACCCACUGCUCUUCAGAAUUCUGAUAUUUUUGGAGGACGAUUUGCAACAUUCAUUAGCACUUUAAAAAGAUAGCCAAUAUUAAGGGAUUAUUGAAACAUAUUAUAUAUCCAUAAAGUGCCAUGAAUGAUGAGGUAGCCCACAUAUCCACUCUAUACCACUAACAAGAAAAGAAGUCCAAAUGUUAAGUUAAAAUUUUUUGGAUUCAAUAAGUUGUGUAUAGAGAAAUUAUGAAGUUUGUGUAUUGUUGAUGGAAACAUGAAAUGGUGCAGCCACUAUGGAAAACAGUUUGACAGUUCCUUAAACAAUUUAAAAGAGAA